GAUGAACGCUAGCGACAGGCUUAACACAUGCAAGUCGAGGGGCAGCGAGGGAGUGCUUGCACUUCUGUCGGCGACCGGCGGACGGGUGAGUAACGCGUGAAUAACCUGCCUUAUACUGGGGGACAACAGUUGGAAACGACUGCUAAUACCGCAUAAGCGCACGGUUCCGCAUGGAACAGUGUGAAAAACUCCGGUGGUAUAAGAUGGAUUCGCGUCUGAUUAGAUAGUUGGUGAGGUAACGGCCCACCAUGGCGACGAUCAGUAGCCGGUCUGAGAGGAUGAACGGCCACAUUGGGACUGAGAUACGGCCCAGACUCCUACGGGAGGCAGCAGUGGGGAAUAUUGGGCAAUGGGGGAAACCCUGACCCAGCAACGCCGCGUGAAGGAAGAAGGCCUUCGGGUUGUAAACUUCUUUUAGCAGGGACGAAGGACGUGACGGUACCUGCAGAAAAAGCAACGGCUAACUACGUG
rnacentral:rRNA from 1 species